rnacentral:rRNA from 1 species
UACAGAGGUCCCAAGCGUUGUUCGGAUUCACUGGGCGUAAAGGGUGCGUAGGUGGUCGGGUAAGUCUGAGGUGAAAUCUCCGAGCUCAACUCGGAAACUGCCUUGGAUACUAUCCGGCUUGAGGGUUGGAGGGGGGACUGGAAUUCUCGGUGUAGCAGUGAAAUGCGUAGAUAUCGAGGGGAACACCAGUGGCGAAGGCGAGUCCCUGGACAACUCCUGACGCUGAGGCACGAAAGCUAGGGGAGCAAACAGG